GGACUGAAUGGCCAUGAAAUAGACCAAUGCUAACUUUGUUCAAUCAAUGCUUAGUUGUAACGACAUAAGCGUUCACAAAUGAAUACUAGUAGUCGAACUAUUUUUUUUAACCCUUCCUCAAUUUGAUAUAAGUUCAAAUGGACGACUACUGAUCUUCAUAUUCACAACUCCAUCUCCAAAAGUAUUUUUUUAUUUAUAACAAUUACAUUCCAUGUAUUUAACAUUUGCUAUCUAUUUUAUUACAGACCAGACCCUGACAAAUAUGCAGCCACAUUUAGUAAACGUUGUACAACACGGAACUGCCCUUGCUGGCCAAGCUGGAGCACAGUUCGCUAAAAAUCUAGGAACACAAAUGUUAUCUGGUUUACAACAAACACCACAAGAAGCUUAAACAUUAUGAAAAGAAUUCAAUUUUUUUUUAAAACAUCAAUAAAAAAUAAACAUAAUAUAUUUGUAAAGUCUUGUUUAAGUUUGUUUUGGUCCCAUUUAUCAAUAUUUGUGGUAACAUAUUUAAGGAGCUUUUUUGUCUGCAUAUUUUGCUUAAAUCCAAUUUCAGAAACUCGAAAUUUGCAAAUAAUACAUUAUUAUAACUAAUAGAAAUAUGUCUAAUUGAAAGAAGAUCCGAGACAUACAUGCAAGAAACAGCAAUCCAAUGAAACAAAACUAUAUUUGAUUUUUAAUAUAUGAUAUGUUUAGCGAAUUAUUCUCUCAAAAAUGCUGUUUUUCAUGAAAUUUGUUUAAUAUUUAAGCGUUCAAGUAUUGUUCCCUACUGAGCUUACGAUGUAGUUGUUCGGGUAUCAUCGUUGGAUCAAUUGGGAUGUUUGUAAUUGUAAAAUCACAAGUAUUUGGUUUCGCCGACAAUCGGUUUUAUCUGUAAUUCUCUGUUCUUAAAGCAAAAAUGUGUCACUUCAAUAAAAAAGUGGCAACUAAGAAAGUAUUAGAAAAGUAUGUAAAAUGAAGGUAAAAGUGGAAUUAAACGACAAAAUCAAUGGCAAGGUACAGCAUGC
rnacentral:lncRNA from 1 species